CUUGUGCUUCCCAUUAAUUCAUGGUGCAUGCUUGGGUGCCCGUAAAUUCAAGUGAGUGUAUGCUACAGGAGUGAGGUGAACCAAUAAUAUAUGAACACUUAAUAUGACAAGUGUUGACUAGGUCAUUUUUUACAUUAUUCAUGAUAUGACCCUAGCUGAAUUAUAGCUUGCUAAAUUUGCCCUCACCCUUUUUAAUAAUUAUGUAUGUAUGUUUUACCACUAUUAAUAUAACGUCUUACCAUGUAUUGAGAUUAGGGUGUCCAUCAAAUUCGUGGGUUGUGUUGGUUCUUCCCUGUGUGCACACCGUGAAGAUUUGUUCGUUCUUCCUUGUGGUUUGCGUUCAGUCGUUUCCUUCCUUGUCUUCGUCGUUCAGCGCCGUGCUCCCUCUUCUUCCAUUUAUGUUUGACAUCUACAGGAUCAAAAUCAUCUAUCUUUGGCUUUGUUACUUCUUUUGAGGCUACUUCCGUCUCCUGAAGUAGCUCUCGGGUGAGGCUCUCAACUUGAUGUUGCAACUCCUUGACAUAAGUGAUUGCAUUGUCAAUAAUCGUUGCUUUGUUCAUCUGGAACCAUAAUUAAGAUCCACAAACAAUUUCAAUUCCAUUAAUUGUUGAGAAAGUCAAUCCAAUUAAGAACAUGAAUAAUUGUGAUAGAGUAUUUCCAACAUUGUUUCCUCCAUUGCCUUUUGUUAGUUAACACUGGAGUUUGUCCU